AAUUAUUGGUUUCUUAGCUAUAGGACCGGAUAGAGUGAGUGACAUUAUCCAAAACCCUGCCUAAACCCAAGCAAAGGACAAAGGAUAAGACUUAUUUAUACCAUUUACAAGUCACGCCUAGUGAAGAGGUCAUAAGCAAUGGCUUCUAUAUUGUCUACUUCCUUGUAUCAAGAUAGAGGACUGAGAAAUAUGGUCUCUACAGAUGGAAUUGUGCCUAGCAUUUGCUGCCCUUAUCGGAAGACAUUGUUUACAGGUACUAUUCAUGUUUCAAUAUGGAAGCUCAAAUUUGUCUCCAGCAGUCCAUUUCAAAAGGCUCCUUUAGCUCCUUGUAUAAAGUGUGAGAAUAAAGAAAAGAAUGAGGGCUCCUUUGAGCAGGUGUCUGUUGAGCGUUACCCUUAUCACAGUUAUAUGGACUCCACUUCUGGGCAGCUUGAACCAGCAUCUGGAGCUCGCGCUAGUAUUCCAGGGCAGGAGUACUGGCCAGAAGGCACAGCUAGUCGAGUUCGGGCCGCCAGGGCUCCUGAACCCGAUGGUAUUUCAACUGGAACUCCAUCUUAUGGGAAAAAUCCUGGAAGUAGAAGAAAGAAGUACAAGGCAUCUGCUGCCACUUCCCAGCCUUCAGACAUUAAUGUAAUUUCUGAUGAUUCUCUGGAGAAUCCGGAUAAUGUACCAGAAGAGCCAAAGGAUCUUUCCACAGAGUAUGUCAUUUAUCAGCCUGAACAAGAAGAAGAGGAGCUGACAGGCUAUGAGCUGGAUAAAAGACAUGGACGGCCCCACCCAUUUAUUGAUCCAAAGGCAAAGAAGGAGAUAGGGAAGCCACUUACUAGUGAAGAACUAUGGUGGAAUUGGAGAAAGCCUGAAAAAGAGCAAUGGUCUAGGUGGCAGAGGCGGCGUCCUGAUGUUGAAACGGUGUUUCUUAAAGCUAUGGCGGAGACAGGACAAGUAAAGCUCUAUGGUGAGCAUCCUACAUUGACGGAAACGGCGCUUUAUAGAGCGAGGAGACAUAUAUAUAAGGAGGAAAGGCUACAGGCUGAAAAAGAAAAAAUGGAAAAGAUUGGUCCUAUUGCAUACUACUCAGAGUGGGUCAAAGCUUGGAAGAGAGACACUUCUCGUGAAGCCAUUCAAAAGCAUUUUGAAGAGACUGGUGAAGAUGAGAACACUCAACUCAUCGAAAUGUUCAGCCAUCAAACAGAUCGUGAAUACCGCAUAAUGAUGGGAACUGAUAUUCGUAUUCCUCGUGAUCCGUUGGCCAUGAGAAUGCGGGAGGAUCAGAUAAAACAAAUUUGGGGUGGAGAUCCAGUUUACCCAACCAUUAAUUACAUUCAGGAUCCCGAUGAAGUGAUUGAUUAUAGGGGUCCAGACUUCCAUGAACCAACACCAAAUAUGUUGGCCUAUCUGAAAGAGCAUGGAAAAGUAAUAUCAAGAGAGGAGCUAGAGAAAAUUCUGUCCAAAGAGAAGACGGAAGAAAUCGAGGUGGCAGAAAUUGAUGAAGCUAUGGCACGAGCUGUUGACAUUGGUGAAAAUGAUGAUGAAGAAGAAGGAAGUGAGGCUGAAGGUGAAGAGGAGGAUGAGAAAAUUACACGCAAUUGGAGUGUUUUGAAAAGUAAUCCCGAGCUUCGCAAAUCGAAGGAUAAACCCAAAAAGAAAGACAUGUCUCUGGAUGAAGCAGUAGACGAUUCUGAGAAUUUAACAGACUUCCUUAUGGACUUUGAUGAGGAUGAGUGAGGCUGAUUGAUGCCCCAGGCUAUUAAGGCACAAACUUUUUCAGGAGCUUGAAAAUUCUAGCGGUAAUCCAGCAUUCCAACUUUUAUAUUGUGAUCAGAUAAGCAAAUGAUUUUCAUCCUCUUAUGGUGAUGCCAGCUGCAGCAUCUUGCCCUAUGAUGAAGUCGAUGAACAUAUAUUGAAUCAUUGACAAGAUUUGGCAAUAAGGCCAACUAACUGCAAAACAGUUAUUUGUUGAUGUUGAUGUGGGAGUUAAACAGCAUCCGCUGAUGAUCUUCGCCCCAGAAGAGUAGAUUUUUUAUAGAAAGCUUUGGGUAGGUUUUUGUGAAUGUACUUGGAUCAUCCUGUGUAAAGCAAAUGAAAAAUGGAGAAAAUGCUAGUAUGGUAGCUUGUAUUCAGCUCACAGUGUGUGAACAACUUUUGGAGCUAUGGUAAUGGUAUAUUAGGUAACCUGAAAUUAGAAGCAGAUAUUAUCUUCUAUUUAGUAUUAACUCAGAUGUCUUGUAUUUGUUUCAAGUUGAAUGGAUUACUCUUUGGUACUUAAUUUCAAGGGUGUAGUAGCCUUUAAAUUACCAUCCGGAUAGUGAAUUCCAAAAAAUUA